GGGGCCGUAGCUCAGUUGGGAGAGCGCCUGCUUUGCAAGCAGGAGGUCGUCGGUUCGAGCCCGAUCGGCUCCA
rnacentral:tRNA from 1 species